UACGGGGGGGGCAAGCGUUGUUCGGAAUUACUGGGCGUAAAGGGCGCGUAGGCGGCCUGCUAAGUCGGAUGUGAAAUCCCUCGGCUCAACCGAGGAACUGCAUCCGAUACUGGCGGGCUUGAAUCCGGGAGAGGGAUGUGGAAUUCCAGGUGUAGCGGUGAAAUGCGUAGAUAUCGGGAGGAACACCGAUUGCGAAGGCAGCUCGCUGGAACGUUACUGACGCUGAGACGCGAAAGCGUGGGGAGCAAACAGG
rnacentral:rRNA from 1 species